CGGACGGGUGAGUAACACGUGAGAAUCUGGCUUCUGGAUGGGGACAACAGUGGGAAACCGCUGCUAAUACCCAAUGAGCCGCAAGGUAAAAGAUUUAUCGCCAGAAGAUGAGCUCGCGUCCGAUUAGUUAGUUGGUAGAGUAACAGCCUACCAAGACAGCGAUCGGUAGCUGGUCUGAGAGGAUGAGCAGCCACACUGGGACUGAGACACGGCCCAG
rnacentral:rRNA from 1 species